rnacentral:rRNA from 1 species
CCUACGGGUGGCAGCAGUAGGGAAUAUUGCUCAAUGGGGGGAACCCUGAAGCAGCAACGCCGCGUGGAGGAUGAAGGUUUUCGGAUUGUAAACUCCUUUUGUUAGAGAAGAUAAUGACGGUAUCUAACGAAUAAGCACCGGCUAACUCCGUGCCAGCAGCCGCGGUAAUACGGAGGGUGCAAGCGUUAAUCGGAUUCACUGGGCGUAAAGAGCGAGUCGGCGGGAUAGCAAGUCAGAUGUGAAAUCCUAUGGGUUAACCAUAGAACUGCAUUUGAAACUGUUAUUCUAGAGGAUGGGAGAGGUAGGGGGAAUUCGGGGUGUAGGGGUAAAAUCCGUAGAGAUCAAGAGGAAUACUCAUUGCGAAGGCGACAUGCUAGAACAUAACUGACGCUGAUGCGCGAAAGCGUGGGGAGCAAACAGGAUUAGAUACCCGUGUAGUC